rnacentral:rRNA from 1 species
GAUGAACGCUGGCGGCGUGCCUAAUACAUGCAAGUCGAGCGAACAGACGAGGAGCUUGCUCCUCUGACGUUAGCGGCGGACGGGUGAGUAACACGUGGAUAACCUACCUAUAAGACUGGGAUAACUUCGGGAAACCGGAGCUAAUACCGGAUAAUAUAUUGAACCGCAUGGUUCAAUAGUGAAAGACGGUUUUGCUGUCACUUAUAGAUGGAUCCGCGCCGCAUUAGCUAGUUGGUAAGGUAACGGCUUACCAAGGCAACGAUGCGUAGCCGACCUGAGAGGGUGAUCGGCCACACUGGAACUGAGACACGGUCCAGACUCCUACGGGAGGCAGCAGUAGGGAAUCUUCCGCAAUGGGCGAAAGCCUGACGGAGCAACGCCGCGUGAGUGAUGAAGGUCUUCGGAUCGUAAAACGCUGUUAUUAGGGAAGAACAAAUGUGUAAGUAACUAUGCACGUCUUGACGGUACCUAAUCAGAAAGCCACGGCUGACUACGUG